rnacentral:rRNA from 1 species
CGAGUUUUGAAACGGGUUGUAGCUGUCCUUCGUAAGGAGGUACGUGCACGCCUUGCUCAUCCACUCUCAAACCCCUGUGCACUUUUUGUAGGCUUGGUGGGAUAGGCUGACUUCGGUCGGCUUUGAAUGCCUCGCCUAUGUAUUAAAACAAACGCUUCAGUUCAGAAUGUAACCUUGCAUAAUAAGCAAAUAAAUACAACUUUCAGCAACGGAUCUCUUGGCUCUCGCAUCGAUGAAGAACGCAGCGAAAUGCGAUAAGUAAUGUGAAUUGCAGAAUUCAGUGAAUCAUCGAAUCUUUGAACGCACCUUGCGCUCCUUGGUAUUCCGAGGAGCAUGCCUGUUUGAGUGUCAUGGUAUCAUCAACCUUCAACACUUUUGUGUCUGUAGGCUUGGACUUGGAGGUCGUGUCGGCGUUCGCGUCGGCUCCUCUGAAAUGCAUUAGCGUGAAUCUUACGAAUCGCCCUCGGUGUGAUAAUUUCUACGCCGUAGACGUGCAGUAUAUAGUGUUCGUGCUUACAACCGUCUGCAAAGACAACAUCAUUGACAAUCUGACCUCAAAUCAGGUAGGACUACCCGCUGAACUUAAGCAUAUCAAUAAGCGGAGGAAAAGAAACUAACAAGGAUUCCCCUAGUAACUGCGAGUGAAGCGGGAAAAGCUCAAAUUUAAAAUCUGGCGGUCUUCGAUCGUCCGAGUUGUAGUCUGGAGAAGCGUCUUCCGCGCUGGACCGUGUACAAGUCUCUUGGAACAGAGCGUCGUAGAGGGUGAGAAUCCCGUCUUUGACACGGACUAUCGUGCUUUGUGAUGCGCUCUCAAAGAGUCGAGUUGUUUGGGAAUGCACUCAAAA